rnacentral:rRNA from 1 species
UACGAAGGGUGCAAGCGUUACUCGGAAUUACUGGGCGUAAAGCGUGCGUAGGUGGUGAGUUAAGUCUGUCGUGAAAGCCCCGGGCUCAACCUGGGAAUGGCGAUGGAUACUGGCUCGCUAGAGUGCGGUAGAGGAGAGUGGAAUUCCCGGUGUAGCAGUGAAAUGCGUAGAUAUCGGGAGGAACACCAGUGGCGAAGGCGAGUCUCUGGGAUGAUGCUGACGCUGAGGCGCGAAAGCCAGGGGAGCAAACGGG